rnacentral:rRNA from 1 species
AGCUAGUUGGUGAGGUAACGGCCCACCAAGGCAACGAUCGGUAGCCGGACUGAGAGGUUGAACGGCCACAUUGGGACUGAGACACGGCCCAGACUCCUACGGGAGGCAGCAGUGGGGAAUAUUGCACAAUGGGGGAAACCCUGAUGCAGCGACGCCGCGUGGAGGAAGAAGGUCUUCGGAUUGUAAACUCCUGUUGUUGGGGAAGAUAAUGACGGUGCCCAACAAGGAAGUGACGGCUAACUACGUGCCAGCAGCCGCGGUAAAACGUAGGUCACAAGCGUUGUCCGGAAUUACUGGGUGUAAAGGGAGCGCAGGCGGGAAGACAAGUUGGAAGUGAAAUCUAUGGGCUCAACCCAUAAACUGCUUUCAAAACUGUUUUUCUUGAGUAGUGCAGAGGUAGGCGGAAUUCCCGGUGUAGCGGUGGAAUGCGUAGAUAUCGGGAGGAACACCAGUGGCGAAGGCGGCCUACUGGGCACCAACUGACGCUGAGGCUCGAAAGUGUGGGUAGCAAACAGGAUUAGAUACCCUGGUAGUCCACACCGUAAACGAUGAUUACUAGGUGUUGGAGGAUUGACCCCUUCAGUGCCGCAGUUAACACAAUAAGUAAUCCACCUGGGGAGUACGACCGCAAGGUUGAAACUCAAAGGAAUUGACGGGGGCCCGCACAAGCAGUGGAGUAUGUGGUUUAAUUCGACGCAACGCGAAGAACCUUACCAAGUCUUGACAUCCCUUGACAGGCAUAGAAAUAUGUUUUCUCUUCGGAGCAAGGAGACAGGUGGUGCAUGGUUGUCGUCAGCUCGUGUCGUGAGAUGUUGGGUUAAGUCCCGCAACGAGCGCAACCCUUAUGGUCAGUUACUACGCAAGAGGACUCUGGCCAGACUGCCGUUGACAAAACGGAGGAAGGUGGGGAUGACGUCAAAUCAUCAUGCCCUUUAUGACUUGGGCUACACACGUACUACAAUGGCGUUAAACAAAGAGAAGCAAGACCGCGAGGUGGAGCAAAACUCAGAAACAACGUCCCAGUUCGGACUGCAGGCUGCAACUCGCCUGCACGAAGUCGGAAUUGCUAGUAAUCGUGGAUCAGCAUGCCACGGUGAAUACGUUCCCGGGCCUUGUACACACCGCCCGUCACACCGUGAGAGCCGGGGGGACCCGAAGUCGGUAGUCUAACCGCAAGGAGGACGCCGCCGAAGGUAAAACUGGUGAUUGGGGUGAAGUCGUAACAAGGUAGCCGUAGGAGAACCUGCGGCUG